UGCUUUAAAAGGCAAAACCACUGGAAAGUGGUGACGCAAAACCUCCGGUCCUAGCGGUGUCUAUUUCAGAUUUUUCUGAAAUUGUGCUGGCGGAUAGCGGGGCUGCAAGC
rnacentral:ncRNA from 1 species